rnacentral:rRNA from 1 species
UACGUAGGGUGCGAGCGUUAAUCGGAAUUACUGGGCGUAAAGCGUGCGCAGGCGGAUGUUUAAGACAGGUGUGAAAUCCCCGGGCUCAACCUGGGAAUGGCGCUUGUGACUGGACAUCUGGAGUACGGCAGAGGGGGGUGGAAUUCCUGGUGUAGCAGUGAAAUGCGUAGAUAUCAGGAGGAACACCGAUGGCGAAGGCAGCCCCCUGGGCUGAUACUGACGCUCAUGCACGAAAGCGUGGGGAGCAAACAGG